rnacentral:misc_RNA from 1 species
AAUUUCAUUGAUGGGCUAUGGUCAGUUUGUGGAGGAGAAAGGCUAAUCGUCUUCACAACAAAUUUUGUGGAGAAACUUGACCCAGCUCUUAUCAGGAAAGGAAGGAUGGACAAGCACAUAGAGUUGUCCUAUUGCAGCUUUGAAGCGUUCAAGGUGUUGGCUAACAAUUACCUUCAGCUUGAAUCACAUCAGCUUUUUGCUAAAAUUAGUGACUUGUUGGGGGAAGCAAAAAUGACUCCUGCGGAUGUCGCUGAGCAUUUGAUGCCAAAGAUUGUUCCUGGAAAUGCUCAAGUCUGCUUGGAGAGUCUCAUUGGAGCCCUUGAAACGACAAAAGAGAAAGCGAAGUUGAAAGCCGAGGAAGAAGCACGAGAGAAGGAAGCAUCGUCAGCCAAAGAGGAAG